rnacentral:lncRNA from 1 species
AUUUGUUUUGAAUAACGCUUUGUGCUAGUGGUGCUGGAACUUCAAAUGCUGGAGAUCAGGCUGCACCACCAAUGCUUCUCCAAGGAUAGCAGCCCCCAGGGUGGGCAGGUAGUUUUUGGAUUGGGAAGGCAACUAUUUCCCGAGCUCUGAACCGUUUUAUUUAUUUUUUCAUUUAGAGACAGUGUCUCACCUUGUCACCCAGGUUGGAGUGUAGUGGCACAAUGAUAGCUCACU